GAAAACCUGCAGCUACUGUGGCCCUCCAGGACUGGAGUUUGACACCCGUGCUUUACAUGGACACUCAGUUUGUGGCUGCUCAGUUGGGCGCAACAUUUAACCUGGUGUCCCAGUUCAAGGAACAGGCUUGCCUUGAAAUGGAAUGUGAUUCAGUGGGAACCAGACGUUACCCUAGAAGUACAUAUGGGCUGCAGUUUAAAAAGGACUCCUGGCUACAAUGCCUGAAGUUGGAAAAGAGAUGUGUCUUAAAAAGUACGGUUUAAGAAAAGGACUUGAAUGUGCUGGGAAAUUAAGAAGCAACAUAUCAUGUAAAAGAAAUGGCAGAUAUCCCAGAAGAUACCUACUUGAUUGGAUUCUGUGCAGUCAAAAGGAACUGACAGGGGAAUCAACAGCUCUAGAGGACUGCGAC